UGCCUUAAUGCCAGUGUUGAAUAGGAGUGGUGUUGCAAAGUAGUUCAUUGACGCCAGGAUUUUUACAACACUUAUGCCGCCAAUCGAUCGGUUAUUUAAAAAAUGGUUGUUUCAACACAUUGUCCAUCUUAACCUGGAGUCGCUCUCUCUGCCGAAAGUUGUUUUCAACAACAGCUGCUUUAAAUUUAAACGCAUCUCGUUCAAAGUCUUAAAACCAAGUUGAAAUGAUUAAUAAAUGUUUUUUAAAAUCUUUGAA